rnacentral:rRNA from 1 species
CCUACGGGAGGCAGCAGUGGGGAAUAUUGGACAAUGGGGGAAACCCUGAUCCAGCGACGCCGCGUGAGUGAAGAAGUAUUUCGGUACGUAAAGCUCUAUCAGCAGGAAAGAAAAUGACGGUACCUGACUAAGAAGCACCGGCGAAAUACGUGCCAGCAGCCGCGGUAAUACGGAUGGUGCGAGCGUUAUCCGGAUUUACUGGGUGUAAAGGGAGCGCAGGCGGCACGCUAAGCCUGAUGUGAAAACCCGCGGCGCAACCGCGGGAGUGCAUUGGGAACUGGCGGGCUGGAGUGCCGGAGGGGCAGGCGGAAUUCAUGGUGUAGCGGUGAAAUGCGUAGAUAUUAGGAGGAACACCAGUGGCGAAGGCGGCCUGCUGGACGAAGACUGACGCUGAGGCUCGAAAGCGUGGGGAGCAAACAGGAUUAGAUACCCCUGUAGUC